rnacentral:rRNA from 1 species
UGAGGAAUAUUGGUCAAUGGUCGGGAGACUGAACCAGCCAAGCCGCGUGAGGGAUGAAGGUGCUAAGCAUUGUAAACCUCUUUUGUCAGGGAACAAAGGCAUCCACGAGUGGGUGUGUGAGUGUACCUGAAGAAAAAGCAUCGGCUAACUCCGUGCCAGCAGCCGCGGUAAUACGGAGGAUGCGAGCGUUAUCCGGAUUUAUUGGGUUUAAAGGGUGCGUAGGCGGCCUGUUAAGUCAGCGGUAAAAGCCCGGGGCUCAACCCGCGAGCGUGAACUGGCUGGCUGGAGUUGGCGAGAGGUAUGCGGAAUGCGCGGUGUAGCGGUGAAAUGCUUAGAUAUCGCGCAGAACUCCGAUUGCGAAGGCAGCAUGCCGGCGCCACACUGACGCUGAGGCACGAAAGCGUGGGGAUCAAACAGGAUUAGAUACC